CCUACGGGAGGCAGCAGUGAGGAAUAUUGGUCAAUGGUCGGGAGACUGAACCAGCCAAGCCGCGUGAGGGAUGAAGGUACAGAGUAUCGUAAACCUCUUUUGUCAGGGAACAAAGGCGGGGACGUGUCCCCGGAUGAGUGUACCUGAAGAAAAAGCAUCGGCUAACUCCGUGCCAGCAGCCGCGGUACUACGGAGGAUGCGAGCGUUAUCCGGAUUUAGUGGGUUUAAAGGGUGCGAAGGCGGUCUGUUAAGUCAGCGGUCAAAGCCCGGGGCUCAACCCCGGCCCGCCGUUGAAACUGGCAGUCUCGAGUUGGAGAGAAGUAUGCGGAAUGCGCGGUGUAGCGGUGAAAUGCAUAGAUAUCGCGCAGAACUCCGAUUGCGAAGGCAGCAUGCCGGCUCCACACUGACGCUGAGGCACGAAAGCGUGGGUAUCGAACAGGAUUAGAUACCCGUGUAGUC
rnacentral:rRNA from 1 species